GACAUAGGUGGCGAACGUUAUCCGGAAUUAUUGGGCGUAAAGGGUGCGUAGGCGGCAUGAUAAGUUAUUGGCGGCAAAUCGAGGCUCAACCUCGUGGAAACUGAUAAUACUGUCUUGCUUGAGUGCAGAAGAGGUUAACGGAACUCCAUGUGGAGCGGUAAAAUGUGUAGAUAUAUGGAAGAACAUCAAUAACGGCGAAGGCAGUUAACUAUUCUGUUACUGACGUUGAGGCACGAAAGCGUGGGGAGCAAAACGG
rnacentral:rRNA from 1 species